rnacentral:rRNA from 1 species
CCUACGGGGAGCAGCAGUGAGGAAUAUUGGUCAAUGGGCGGGAGCCUGAACCAGCCAAGUCGCGUGAGGGAAGACGGUCCUAUGGAUUGUAAACCUCUUUAGGCGGGGAGCAAUGCCGGGCACGCGUGCCCGGAGGGAGAGUACCCGCAGAAUAAGCAUCGGCUAACUCCGUGCCAGCAGCCGCGGUAAUACGGAGGAUGCGAGCGUUAUCCGGAUUUAGUGGGUGUAAAGGGUGCGUAGGCGGAUUUUUAAGUCAGCGGUAAAAUGUCCGGGCUCAACCCGGGCCGGCCGUUGAAACUGGGGAUCUUGAGUGGGCGAGAAGUAUGCGGAAUGCGUGGUGUAGCGGUGAAAUGCAUAGAUAUCACGCAGAACUCCGAUUGCGAAAGCAGCAUACCGGCGCCCGACUGACGCUGAGGCACGAAAGCGUGGGGAUCGAACAGGAUUAGAUACCCUUGUAGUC